UUGAGAAAGUUAAUUAUAACAAAUACGACGUUAAAAUAAUUAUAAGCUGAUAGUUCGGUAAUUAUUAUGCAUAAGUAUUUAAGGUCAGCAAUUUUGAAUUUAAAUUCAGUUCGCUACCAAAUAGAGUUUAAUAUUUAAAUAAUAAACUUCAGUCACCGGAUCAAAAUGAUGAUUAAGCUUUUCUUGUUGGUUUUAAUUAUCGCAGUGGCUAUCGAUUCAACUGCGGCAAUAUUUGGGUAUUGCAAGGGCCAAAAUGAAUUUUGUCUCCCAAUAAUUGGGUUCACUUGCUGCGCUCCAUUCAACUGCUCUCAUAUGUUCCGCCCAGGAAAGUGCGCGUAAAAAUUAAAUCUACAACUUGAUUGUAAAAACGUCUAAUGUGAAAAGAAAUGAAUAAAUAAAAUAAAUAAAAAAAUUUUUCAAUUUAAAAUUCAAAUUUUCUGUAAAUCAUAAGAAGAAUAAAAAAUGGGAUAAUUUUUUUUUUUUUCAAACGUAAUAAAAAAUAAUGAAAAAUAACUAGUGACAGCAUCGUCAUUAACGCUCAUUUACAGACACACUAUCAUAUGCAGCGAGGAGUCACGUUAGCCACGGGGAGCCGAAAUUUAACUAAAAAAAUUCUAAUUUUUUAUCUAGCCUCGUUUGUUGUAUUUAUUUAUUUUAAAAAUAAAUAAUUUAUUCAUCUUAACAACGGGAAUGAUAAAUCGUUAAACGGGAUUCAACCCUCUGAGGCGUUAAAUUCAAACCACGAACGUCAGGUGGUCA